rnacentral:rRNA from 1 species
AUUGAACGCUGGCGGCAUGCCUUACACAUGCAAGUCGAACGGCAGCGGGCCUUCGGGUGCCGGCGAGUGGCGAACGGGUGAGUAAUGCAUCGGAACGUGCCAUUGAGGUGGGGGAUAACGUAGCGAAAGUUACGCUAAUACCGCAUAUUCUGUGAGCAGGAAAGCAGGGGACCGCAAGGCCUUGCGCUCUUUGAGCGGCCGAUGUCAGAUUAGCUAGUUGGUGAGGUAAAGGCUUACCAAGGCGACGAUCUGUAGCGGGUCUGAGAGGAUGAUCCGCCACACUGGAACUGAGACACGGUCCAGACUCCUACGGGAGGCAGCAGUGGGGAAUUUUGGACAAUGGGGGGCAACCCUGAUCCAGCCAUUCCGCGUGAGUGAAGAAGGCCUGGUUGUAAG